UACGUAGGGGGCAAGCGUUGUCCGGAUUUAUUGGGCGUAAAGAGCGUGUAGGCGGUUUGGUAGGUCCGCUGUGAAAACUCGAGCUCAACCUCGAGACGCCGGUGGAAACCAUCAGACUAGAGUCCGGAAGAGGAGAGUGGAAUUCCUGGUGUAGCGGUGAAAUGCGCAGAUAUCAGGAGGAACACCAAUGGCGAAGGCAGCUCGCUGGGACGUUACUGACACUGAGGCGCGAAAGCGUGGGGAGCGAACAGG
rnacentral:rRNA from 1 species